AUACGGGAAUCUGGGAAUUCAAUCCUUGCAGCUUUGCCUUCAUGAUUGAAGAAAAGCAGUUCAGCUUUUUUCCAAGUAACCUGUCGGAUUUACAGGAAGUCAGCAAGCUUCCUAUUAUAGUGGAUUGGAGUAUUGGGCGCAAUAACUGCGAAACCUUGGAAAAGAAUAAGAUAUCGAAUGCAUGUCAAGGACAGAGCAAAUGUCAAGACCCUGAAAAUGGGUCUGGGUACAUUUGCAAAUGCUUAGAUGGCUAUCAAGGAAAUCCAUACCUCCCAAAUGGUUGCCGAAGUAUGCAUUUCUUUUUCUUAAUUUUAUCCCUUUUUUAUAACUUUUUACUUUCAUAAAGAGAAAUCCAUACCUCCCAAAUGGUUGCCGAAGUAUGCAUUUCUUUUUCUUAAUUUUAUCCCUUUUUUAUAACUUUUUACUUUCAUAAAGAGAAAGUUAAAUUACUUGUAAUUGAUUUCGAGGAGAUCCCUAAUCUGAUUUUUCGAGAUUGGAUUACUUGAAAUUAUGAGAAUUUACUUUAGUUUUACGUAAAGGCUUCUCUUUAUGAUGCUUCUGCAGACAUUAAUGAAUGUUCAGAUCCAAAAGUAGCCCACAAUUGCAGCCACGCAUGCAUCGACACCGAAGGGAAUUAUACAUGUUCUUGCCCCAAGGGGUACCAUGGAGAUGGGAGAAUAGAUGGAGAACGCUGCAUCCGCAAUCGAUCAUCAGUGAUUCAGGUCGCUGUCGGUAAGUUCGUAUAUCAUCCUCUUCAUUUUCAAUCCCGAUGUUCAUGUACAUACUAUUGUGUAUAGAUCUUUCAUGUGCCAUUAAACGUACCUGUUUGUUUCAGGAAUUUUCAUAUCUGCAAUGUACAUAAUUAAUGUACAUAUCUACGAAUUUUCAUAUCUGCAAUGUACAUAAUUAAUGUUUCAACAUCCUUGUACAUGUAGGAAUUGGAGUGGGACUGACAUCUUUGUUGAUGGGAAUUACUUGGCUGUACUGGGGAUACAAUAAAUGGAAGCUAAUUAAGCUCAAAGAGAAGUUCUUUAGGCAAAAUGGUGGUCUAAUGCUGGAGCAGCAGCUAUCAAGAAGGGAAGGAUCCGUUACAGAAACGGCAAAAAUCUUUUCAGCUGAAGAACUCGAGAAAGCCACGGACAAGUACCAUGAAAGCAGAAUUCUUGGCCGUGGAGGUUUUGGGACUGUUUACAAGGGAACUUUAACAGAUGGAAGAACUGUUGCAAUCAAGAAGUCCAAAACAAUCGAUCAUAGCCAGAUCGAGCAGUUUAUCAAUGAGGUGGUUGUUCUUUACCAAAUCAAUCACAGGAAUGUGGUGAAGCUUCUGGGAUGUUGCUUGGAGACAGAAGUCCCAUUACUAGUUUAUGAAUAUGUUGCAAACGGCACCCUCUAUGACCACAUUCACGACAUGAGUAAGGUGUCGGCCCUCACCUGGGAAAUCCGUUUAAAGAUAGCUUCUGAAACUGCAGGUGUUCUAUCAUAUUUGCAUUCCGCGGCUUCUGUGCCAAUCAUUCAUAGGGAUGUCAAGUCUACAAACAUACUCCUGGACAACAGUUACAAGGCAAAAGUGUCAGAUUUUGGCACUUCUAGGUUAAUUCCGUUGGAUCAAGUUGAAGUGUCAACAAUGGUGCAGGGUACUCUAGGAUACUUAGACCCUGAGUACUUGCACACAAGCCAACUGACGGACAAAAGUGAUGUUUACAGUUUUGGAGUGGUUCUUGUGGAACUACUAACUGGGAUGAAGGCAGUUUCCUUCCAUAAGCCUGAGGAGGAGAGGAGUUUAUCAGCGUAUUUUCUAUGCGCACUGAAAGAAGAUCGCCUGGUCCAUAUUCUUCAGGAUAGCAUGGUGAACCAGGAUAAUAUUAGGCAGCUGAAGGGAGUUGCCAACAUUGCAAAGAAGUGCUUAAGAGUAAAAGGAGAGGGAAGACCCAACAUGAAGAAGGUAGCAAUGGAAUUAGAGGGGCUAAGAACAUCUGCAAAACAUCCUUGGACUAAUGACGAAUCAAAUGUAGAAGAGACAGAGUACCUGCUUGGUAAAUCAGUGGAAACUGCUCGUUCUGAGGAAAUGGCUGGUACAAGUGCUGGAUAUCACAGUUUACAGAAUUAUUUAAUGCAAUCACUAGAUGGUGGCAGAUGAACAUUUUAUUAUAGUGUCACAGCUUCGCUUGAUAGUUUUCUUUGAAUAAUAGCUUGCCAGCAGUGUAUGGUAAUGCAUUUCUUUUCUUUUCUAUAUUUCAGUCCAGUUCUGUUUUUGUUAUAGUGGUCCUGUAAUUUUAAAAGACGACGAAUUUCUGACAUUAUGUCCAAUAUUCAACCCGCAUUAAAACUCUUUAUCCUACCUCCAUUUUGCAAUGUAAUAUUCCAGGUGAUCUCCUUCUGAAAGCAAAUAAAUUUCUGGGCACACAUUCUGGUGCAUGCCAUUUUACCACUGAACAUAUUCCUUUCUUCUUGAGAACACAUGCAAGCUUAGGAGCUGUUAAUAAUCCAAUACUGACUCGUUUUUCCAACAUGUUCUUUCUUUAUUAGAUAUUACCUCUAUAUUCAGUCUAAGAUUAUAAGAGCACUGAAACAGAAAGAAACGAGGGCUAAUAACUUCAGCAUAAUAACGUUUCGCGGCCUGAUGCGACCAUGAGCUUAAAAUCCAAUGGAAAAGCUAAAUGGAUAGCCAAAAAUAAAAAAUUAAUAUUUUGGUUUUUCUUUGCUUGUUUUGCACAUUUUAAGGGGAAAACCAAACAAAAUGCUAAAAUGCAUUUUCUCUCCUACAAAUGUUAUUCCUACAUAUCUCUCAAAAGAGCCAAAACUAAUCAAGUGAGGCCAACAAAAGAAUAAGCCAAUUAAAUCUAGCCAUGUGGAAAAAAAAUAACAUCAAAAUUAUUAAAAAAAAAUAAAACACUUCUUUAUUUUACUCUAAUAGAAUUAGCUUUUCAAAUGGCUUUUUUCUAUUGAAAUAUACAUAAUAAAAAAAACUAUAUUUAUAUUAUUCAAAAUACUAUUUUAUCAAUUUGCUUCUUUAAAAUAACAUCUCCCAUUGAAGAUGCUCUUUACCAUGCCCGUUGACAAGGACUGCGAUUAUAUGUCUCUGGGAAGGAAAUUUUUAUUGUCGCCCCGAUAUUUAGACAACCACAAAAAAAGAAAUUCGUAAAGGGACAAUCAUUAUUCAAUUUUUCUUGUCGGUGAAAACUAAAAACCAAUCUAACGUCGAUCAUAAUAGUUCUUAAUGAAGAAAUUGAUUCCACACACACACACACAUAUAUAUAGAGUAAUGAAUAUCUGAAUAGAUACCAGAUGUAUAACCCAAUAAAUAAUAGAUAAAGUAUGAACAUAGCACCUUGUUAAAACCCAAUUUAUGCCCAUAAUCAAAUAUACUAAAUUUGGACCUUAGGUCUAAAGCCACCUUGUCAAUUCAAAGAUAAUAAAAUUAAAGUUUAAAAACCAUUAAAAGAAUAAAAAAUAAUGAGGACAUGAGCCCUAUGUCCAUUUGCAUCUAUCACAUCAUGUAUUUAAAAAUAAAAUUGAACCGCUCGACCUCUAUUUUUCCCCCUAAAAGAUCUGCAAGAAGGACUUUAUUAGUGUCAUAACAAAAAAAAAAUCAAAUAAUAACAAUACCAAAACAUCUACAAAAAAUAAAAAAUCUUAUAGAUAAAACAAAAGAGCAUCUUCCUAGCUUCCCAAAGCAAUCUUUGGUUAGUGUUAAAGCUUUUUUAAUAAUUUCUAUUACAUAUAGUUCUAGAUUUAUUAUAUUAAAUACAAGCAUCAACAUUUCUAGAUUUAUUAAUUGAAUGAAUCUUAAUUAUCUUUGUUUGAAAGUUUAGUAACGAUUAUUUUUUAAAAUAUUUUUUAUUAAAAAAUAUAUUAAAAUAAUUUUUUUUACUAUUUUAAUAUUAAUAAAUCAAAAUAAUAUAAAAACACUAAAAAUUAUAUAUAUAUAUAUAUAUAUAUAAAUUUUAAUGAGAGGAUUAUAGAUUAUAUAAAAUUAAAACCAUAUUUGCUUUUUUGGGAGUGUUUGGGAAUAUGACACAAACCACGUUCCCUCAAGUUUUUUUUUUAAAAUUUGUUAAUUUUUUUUUUAUUUUCAGAUCGUUAUAAUAUAUUAAUGUUAAAAAUAGUUUUUAAAAAAUAAUAAUAAAAAGUGAAACGCAACCGUCUCUUUAAAUUGAGUAGGUAACCUCCGAUUUAUGCUUCGGUUGAUGUAGAUCUUGUAAGAAACCCGUCCAGUCGAAACUAUUUGCUUAUUAGUCUAAAAAGAUUUUUGAAUUCGUUACUUAGUUUUAGGUUAUCAGCCUGGUGAGAUUCUGAAUGUUGCACUGUUAAAUAUCAGCAAGUUGGGAAACGAAGGUAAACCUCAAGAAACGAAGAUAUGUUUACCAUGGAGCUUAAUGUUGAAGAAUAAUCAAUUACUGUUAGCAGUUCUUGUUAGUAAGUCGGUUAAUACUGUUAGUCUAGCUGGCAGUUAGUUAAGUCUGUUAGUAUUCCUAACUAACAAUAACAGAUUCCUUGAAUCACGGGGCAGUAGCUGAUUCCUUGUAAUGGCUAUAUAAUGCCUUAUUGUUGCAUCUAUAGAGAAUAAUACAGUACAGUAUUCAUCAAUCGUUCUUGUUUAUCAAUUCUAACAAAUUGGUAUCAGAGCAAAACAAAGAAAAAAAAGAAGAAAGAAUCAAGAAGAAGAAAAGAAAGCUGCAGUUGAUUUCUUUGCUUUACGAUUGACAUAUACAAACAAAGAAGAUUCAAGAGAUGGCGAAUGACAAUAAUGGCAGUUUCAUACAACCAUCUAUACCACGUUUUGAUGGACAUUUCGAUCACUGGAGCAUGCUAAUGGAGAAUUUCUUGAGAUCCAAGGAAUUCUGGACCUUGGUUGAAACUGGCUGCACAGAGCCAGAGGAAGGAGCAAAUGUGACUGAAAUGCAACGAAAGAAACUGGAGGAGCUAAAACUCAAAGAUCUGAAAGUGAAGAACUACUUAUUCCAGGCCAUUGACAGAACCACACUAGAAACUAUUCUAGAGAAGAACACCUCUAAGCAAAUCUAGGACUUAAUGAAAAGAAAAUAUGAAGGAAAUGCAAGAGUGAAGCGUUCAAUCCUUCAAACACUAAGGAAGGAGUUUGAAACACUGGAAAUGAAAACAGGUGAGAAUGUCACUGACUACUUUGCAAAAGUCAUGACUGUAGCAAGUAAGAUGAGAACCUAUGGGGAGCAGAUGAAAGAUGUAACAAUUAUGGAGAAAAUUCUUCGAUCAUUGACUGACAUAUUCAAUUACAUAGUAUGCUCAAUUGAAGAAUCUAAGGAUAUUGAUGUUCUCUCAAUUGAUGAGUUACAAAGCUCGUUGAUUGUAUAUGAACAAAAAUUUCAGAAACAUCACAUAGAAGAACAAGCCUUGAAAGUGACAGCUGAAGAAAGAUCAUAUGGUAGAGGACAAGGCAGACGAGUCUUCAGAGGAGGUGGAAGAGGUAGAGGACGCUAUAACUUUGAUAAAACCACUGUGGAAUGUUAUAGAUGUCACAAACUUGGUCAUUUUCAGUAUGAAUGCCCCACAGUGAGCAAGGAGGCAAAUUAUGCAGAACUGAACAAUGAAGAAGAAAUUCUAUUGAUGUCUCAUAUAGAAUUAUAUGGCAACAAUCGAGAGAAUGCUUGGUUCUUGGAUUCUGGCUGCUCAAACCAUAUGUGUGGAUAAAAUGAGACGUUCUGUGAUUUGGAUGAAAAAUUUAGACAACUGGUAAAGCUUGGGAAUAAUACACGAAUGACAGUCCUUGGAAAAGGAAAAAUCAAGUUGUUUUUGGAUGGGAUGCAGCACAUGGUUACUGAUGUAUUCUAUGUGCCUGAACUGAGGAACAAUCUCAUGAGCAUAGGCCAACUACAAGAAAAGGGUCUGGCGAUUCUUAUCAAAUCAGGAACAUGCAAGAUCUAUCACCCUGUGAGAGGCCUGAUCAUCCAAACCAGAAUGACAGUCAACAGGAUGUUUGUAUUAAUAGCAAAGGCUCAAGGCAAAGAAGUCUCAUGUUUCCAUACACAUGCACGAGAUGUAUCACAUUUGUGGCAUUGCAGAUAUGGUCAUCUUAGCCACAAAGGACUAAGAACAUUGCAGUAUAAGAAGAUGGUUCGAGGACUACCACAGCUCCCUGCAUCAACUACAAAAUGCACUGCCUGUAUUACUGGCAAGCAACACAGAGAAUCUUUCCCAAAGAAGAGUCAAUGGCGUGCAUCACAAAGGCUACAGCUCAUCCAUGCAGACAUAUGUGGUCCAAUCACACCAACCUCAAACAGCAAGAAAAGGUACUUCUUAUGCCUCAUUGAUGAUUAUAGCAGGAAGGCCUGGGCUUAUUUUAUGGCAGAAAAAUCAGAAGCUCUUCAACAUAUCCAGCACUUUAAGAAGCUUGUUGAGAAAGAAACUGGACAAUUCAUCAAGGGUAUAAGAACGGAUAGAGGUGGUGAGUUCAACUCCCUGGAAUUCAAUGAGUUCUGUCAACAAAUGGCAUCAAAAGACAGCUAACUACAGCCUACACCCCUCAGCAGAAUGGAGUGGCUGAGAGGAAGAACAGGACAGUGAUGAACUUGGUAAGAUCAAUGCUUUCAGAAAAGAAGAUUCCUAAAAGUUUCUGGGCUGAGGCAGUAAAAUGGAUCAUAUAUGUCUUGAAUAGAUGCCCUACAAAUGCUAUAAAAGACAUGACUCCAGAAGAAGUGUGGACUGGAAUGAAACCCUCGGUUGAACACUUUAGAGUGUUUGGGUGUGUAGCUCAUGUGCAUAUACCAAAUGCAAGACGAACCAAACUAGAAAACAAGAGUGUGUGCUGUGUAUUGUUGGGAGUUAGCGAAGAAUCAAAAGGCUACAGAUUAUAUGAUCCCACAACAAAGAAAAUUGUAACCAGCAGGGACAUAAUCUGUGAAGAAGAAAAACACUGGGACUGGGAUAUCAGUUACAAAGAGGAAGUACAAAUGAGUUUAGAAUGGGGAGAAGAAGAUGAAACUGAUGAAAAUGAAGCAAACAGCAGUGAAGAUGCAGAGGCAACUGAUAUUAUUGCCAACUCACAUACUGAAGAUGGGAAUGACAUUAGAGAACCCAGAGAAGCUCCUGCCAAUACAACAUAUGAAGAAGAUGUUCAGCUGCAUGCAAGGAGGGAGACAAUUAUGCCAAUUGGAUGAGAGACUAUGUCUCUGGUGAAGGACUGUCAGAAGAAGAAACUGAAUUGAAUAUGACAAUUAUUAGUUCUGGUGAUCCCGUGAGCUAUGAAGAAGCAGUAAAAAGUUACAAGUGGAGGGAAGCCAUGGAUGUUGAAAUGGAGUCAAUUCAGAAGAAUAAAACAUGGAGCUUAACUGAAUUACCAGCUGGAACUAAGAAGAUUGGGGUGAAAUGGAUAUACAAGACCAAACUGAAUGAGUCUAGCAAAGUGGAUAAGCUGAAAGCCAGGUUAGUUGCCAAGGGUUAUGCUCAACAACAUGGUGUGGAUUAUACAGAAGUAUUUGCUCCUGUGGCAAGAAUGGACACUGUUCGGAUGAUCAUUGCACUAGCUGCUAAAGGGGUUGGCCAUCUAUCAAUUAGAUGUUAAGUCGGCUUUCUGCAUGGAGAAUUAAGUGAGGAUUUAUUUGUAGAGCAACCAAAGGGUAUGAGCAGAAAGGAGAUGAACAUAAGGUCUACAAAUUACACAAAGCUUUGUAUGGACUAAAACAAGCCCCUAGAGCUUGGUUUAGUCGCAUUGAAGCUUACUUCAGCCAUGAAGGAUUUCAGAAGUGCAUUAGUGAGCAAACUCUGUUUGUUAAAACCAGUGAAGGCAGAAUUCUUAUUGUGAGUGUCUAUGUGGAUGAUUUGAUCUUCACUGGAGAUGAUGAGUAGUUGAUGCUGGAAUUCAAACAAUCAAUGAUGAGGGUGUUUGACAUGAUUGACCUAGGAAGAAUGAGAUUCUUUCUAGGCAUAGAAGUACUGCGACAGACCAAUGGGAUAUAUAUCUGUCAACGAAAAUAUAUACUAGAGGUUCUGAAACGAUUUGGCAUGGAAGACAGUAAUGCAGUAAUGAAUCCUAUAGUCCCUGGUUUCAAACCUGACAAAGUUGGAGAAGGAAACAAAGUUGAUGAGACUUACUAUAAAUAAAUAGUAGGAAGUCUCAUGUAUAUCACUGCUACCAGGCCAGAUAUCAUGUUUGCAGUGAGUUUUAUUAGCAGGUGUAUGUCCAAUCCAACAGAGGUGCAUCUGCAAGCUACUAAAAGAAUAUUACGAUACUUGAAGGGCACCAUCAAUUAUGGUAUAUUCUACAAGAAGAAUGAUAACAAGCAGCUGAUUGCAUACACUGACAGUGACUAUGCAGGAGAUCUUACAUACAGGAAGAGUACAUCCGGCUAUAUCUUCAUACUAAGUGGAGGAGCAGUCUCAUGGUCAUCAAAGAAGCAGCCUAUUGUCACUCUGUCAACAACUGAAGCAGAAUUCGUGGCUGCAGCAGCUUGUGCCUGUCAGGCAGUAUGGAUGAGAAGGAUAUUGGAGAAGUUAAACCAUGAACAAAAGGGCUGCACUAUCUUAAUGUGUGAUAACAGUUCAACCAUCAAGCUCUCAAGAAAUCCUAUUAUGCAUGGACGCAGCAAGCACAUUGAUGUGAGGUUCCAUUUCUUACGUGAUCUAACUCGAGACAAAGUCAUCGAACUGGUGCAUUGCAACUCUCAAGAUCAAGUAGCUGACCUGCUGACAAAACCAGUUAAACUACAGACAUUUGAAAGCCUGCGAGAGCAAAUGGGAGUGUGUGUGAUUCCUGACAUAAACUAAUUGUUACACAUAAUUAGUUUAAAGGAGAGAAUGUUGAAGAAUAAUCAAUUACUGUUAGCAGUUCUUGUUAGUAAGUCGGUUAAUACUGUUAGUCUAGCUGGCAGUUAGUUAAGUCUGUUAGUAUUCCUAACUAACAAUAACAGAUUCCUUGAAUCACGGGGCAGUAGCUGAUUCCUUGUAAUGGCUAUAUAAUGCCUUAUUGUUGCAUCUAUAGAGAAUAAUACAGUACAGUAUUCAUCAAUCGUUCUUGUUUAUCAAUUCUAACACUUAAUCCAUGCAAAUUGACUCCACCAUCGCUGCUUUGUUAACUCUUCAUAACUGAUAAUUUGCUGGGUUUUAUUUUAUUUUUUAUCAGUCGCUUAAUUUUAACGUCACUGCUUCAAUUCACUCUGUCAAAAGCCCCGGUCUUCUACUAUGGUCUUUGAAUGAAUGAGUUUAGUUCUUGACUUUGCCGCAUCUGAUAUCACGGGCGUCUCUUAAAAAUAAUCCUCGAUUAUUUUUUAAAAAUAAAUUUAUAGUAUCUUAUUUUUUUAAAAAAAAUAUUUUAUUUGAUGAAUUGUCACCUAGUAUUAUAAGCAUUAGAAAUCAUAACUAGUCAAAAUAGAUUUUAUGGUACGUGAUUGAUUAUGUAAAAAGAAAGAUAUUAUCACCCUUUAAACGUUCUCCCUAAAACAGACUGCAUUGCUGGUUUUGUCUUAAAUUGCUAAACAUUUAUUUGCUUAUACUAUGAUGGUUUGUUUAUAAUAUUCCUGACUUUGACCUAGUGAAUAUUCAAUCUCGAAUAAUUUCAACUCUGGCGUUAGUAAAAAUUCCAACCCCGAAUAAUUCCAACUCUGGCGUUGGUAAAAAUUUCACCACGAAUAAUUCCAACUCUAAUGUUGGUAAAAAUUCAUAACUAUAAAAAAAAUAGUGUGUGUAUAUAUAUAUAUAUAUAUAUAUUUAUUAUUGAUCUUGAUAUCAGUAAAUAAAUAGAUAAAAAUAAAUAUUUUCUAAGACAUGCAAAAUUUUUAUUUGUACGCUUUCUAUUUUUUAUUUUUUAUUUUUUGUUUUGUGGGCUGGGCUGGAUCCAGCUGACCCGGUUGGGUCACUGGUCUAGACCAAUGACCCGGCUGUUAUAAUUCACUGCUAUUUUAGCAUUGAAUUAAAAUGCAAAGGAGAGAAGAUGACUUACCUGCUGCUCCUGAAGAUGAAGAUGAAGACGGUUCUCUCGGGUGGUUUUUCUUUUUCAAGUCACUGUUCGUCCUCCAUUUUUCUGUGGUUCUUGGUCUGUUCCUCGAUAUUUUUUUCAGUUCUUCCUCUCUCUCUGUUUUCUGUCCCUAGUGCUGGAGAUGGUUAAGGCAAUGGUCCCAUCCCUGUAUAAUCUCUGUCUCUCCUCCUGCUUGCGGCCCGUUUGCGUUUCCAAAUUCCAGGUCUCCUCGGUUUCCUCCGUUCCUCCUUGUUCGUCUCUGUUUUUUUUUUUUUGCUGUCUAUUUGUUUUCUUUUCUCUGUUUCUCGCCCUGUCGUGUUCGUUCUUCCCGGUCCUGUGGGUUCUAUCUCUGGUUUUCUUAUGAUUUUUCUCAACUUGGGAGCCCUUUUUGACCCCCUGUUUGCGUCUAUGCUUUUCAGUUUUCUCCCCGCCCUUUUCUCCGUCUGUAUUUUUUCUUUUUUUUCAGUUCCUUUCCCUCCUUUCAGUCCCCAGUUUUUCUUCCUUUUCCUUCCUCCCCUGCGUUCUUUCUUUUCUCUGGCUUUAUAGCCACAGAAUGCCACCGUUACCAGGUAAUAAAUCGACUGUUAUUGCAGGAGUAAUGGCGAUGCAUCCGUUUUUGUUCGGUCAAGUGAAGAAGAAGAUGAACAGUGUUGAUGGACAUGGCUAAUUGCAUUUGGAUCCUUGAAAUUUUGAAUUUGGCAGUCCAGUCCUUGGGUAAAUUUUAAUUGAACCCCUGCAUCUCAGCGCCAUUUACAAAUUGGUCCUUGGGUUUUAAUUUCUUGCAACUUUGACCAGAAUCAGCCCUAUACUUGGAUAAUGUUUCAAUUAAGCCCCUGAUUUCAUUAAUUAAAUUAAUAUCAAUCUCAAUUAAGUCUCAAAACUUAUCAAUUCUUCAAUUGAACCCUUGGUUGGAUUAAUUAAAUCAAUUUCAAGCUUAUUCAAGUAUCAAAACUUAUCAAUUCUUCAAUUAAACCCUUAACUUGAUUAAUUAAACUAGUCAAGAAUUUAAUUAAAUUUUUAAACUUUUAAUUAUAUUGCUUUUAACCCAAAUUUUAAUUCAUUCUUUAAUUAUUUUAUUUUUACUUGUGUUUUAUUAUUUUUUUAAUAAAUAAAAUAAUUAAAAUCAAAAAUAAAAAAUUAGUUCAUGACAGACUUUGCAGAGAAGAAUUUAGUUUGGUCGUUUACAAAAGGAUUAAAUAUGAGAGUACGAAAAGUAAGUUGAAAUGACAACUUUUUAUUUAAAAAGAAAAAACUUUUCCUUUUCACAUUACUUUCUUUCAGGCUACCAUAUCCUCGAUAAAAGCACCCUACUAGAGAUUGUUUCUCAACUUUUUUUUAAGAAUCUAUUCGCUUUUGUUGAUUGUGAGAGAUUAGCAAAGGUUCAAUGGCCAAGUAACAAGUGUUCCUUUGGGCUCAAACAACCUCCCUUCCCCCUUUGCUUUUUUUUUUUUUUUUAAUAUUGAUUUUGAUUUUUAAUUUCAAACGAGUUUGUGUCACGCGUGAGAUAAUUCGUUGUUUCACCAGCGCAUGUAUGAUUUUCGGCAGACAGCUAGUAGGACACAAACCUCUCCCACACGGCAGGUGCAAGUAAAUUCCACAGGUGGGCCCCGCAGCAUUAGACUGUGAAGGUGGAAUCUAGCUGACUUUAAAAGGUUCCAAUCAAGUCAAGGUCACACAUCCACUCUAUGUGCCAUGCAAUUUCUUGAAAUCAAUUUGCCAUGAUAUUUCUUCAAAUCAAUUUGCCAUGAUAUUUCUAAGAAGACACGAGGACCUAAGUGAAAUUAACCUCACAGUUUGGGGAUUUUUUAAUGAGAUUUUCCGAGGAAAAAAUGUACUGACAUUUCCAUAUUCAAAAUUAGGCGGCUUGACUUAGAGGAGAAUUAUAAUGGAGCACUUAUUUUUUAUUUUAAAAUAAUAAUUUUUUUAUUUUUUUAAAAAUUAUUUUUAAUAUUAAAAUAUUAAAAAAAUUAAUAUAAAAUAAAAAAAUUCAAUUUAUUUUAAGAACACUUUUAAAACAUAAAGAAAUAAUAGAAUAAAAAAGUUUUGAUUCUAGUAAGUUCUUGCUUGCAAGUCCUCCGUGAGUCACGUAUAUCCCAACUGGCGUCCAAGCCUAAUAAUUGGUCUUCCGUCGACCAUUAUCGUGGUAAUUUGCUUUAUAAAAAAGGCUAUCUGCCACGGUGAGUUUUGUACCACCCGACUCCAUUCUAAGUAAACAGAAAAGUAGCUGUCAUGGGAAUUCGAGGAAUGGCCUUACAGUUCACAAUAACAGGAGUACUGUUGUUAGCAGCAGUGACAGCAGCAACAGAGCUUCCUAUAGCGAAGCCUGGAUGCCAUGAUAGGUGUGGGAAUGUUAGUAUCCCAUAUCCAUUUGGCACGGGAGAAGAUUGCUACUACGGCUCUAAGUUCCUCAUAACUUGCAACCAUACUUUCAACCCUCCAAAAGCGUUUUUAGGAAAUGGUAGCUUAGAGGUCACAGAAAUAACCCUUGAUGGGAAGCUACGCAUCAUGCAUUAUAUAGCUAAGGAUUGCUAUAAUCAGGCAGGUGCACGAACAUCGAGAAACAGUCCCUGGAUAAACCUAUCCAUCAAAGGUCCAUACGUUGUUUCUGACACUGACAAUAUGUUCGUCGGUAUCGGCUGUGAUACUGUAGCUAAACUGCGAGGUACCCGAGAAAACAUGAGUGAUACAUACCUGGUAGGAUGCAUUUCCGAAUGUAGCAACAAACAAUAUGUACCAAACACAUGCUCCGGAAUUGGUUGCUGCCAAACCUCCAUUGCCAAAGGAAUUAAGCACUUCGACCUGAGCUUGUCUAGUUACAGUAGUCAUACGGGAAUCUGGGAAUUCAAUCGUUGCGGCUUUGCCUUCAUUAUUGAAGAAAAGCAGUUCAGCUUUUUUCCAAGUAACCUGUCGGAUUUGGAGAAAGUAGAGAAGCUUCCUAUUAUAGUUGAUUGGAGUAUUGGGCGCAAUAACUGCGAAACCUUGGAAAAGAACAGGAUGUCUAGUGCAUGUCAGGGACAGAGCAAAUGUCAUGACCCUGAAAAUGGGUCUGGGUACAUUUGCAAAUGCUUAGAUGGCUAUCAAGGAAAUCCAUACCUCCCAAAUGGUUGCC
rnacentral:lncRNA from 1 species